AACGCGAAGAACCUUACCUGGGCUUGAACUACUGGUAGUAAGUCUCUGGAAACAGAGGCUGAUCCGCAAGGAAGCCAGCAGAGGUGCUGCAUGGUUGUCGUCAGCUCGUGUCGUGAGAUGUUGGGUUAAGUCCCGCAACGAGCGCAACCCCUAUCUCAUGUUGCUACUCCCGCAAGGGAGGCACUCUUGAGAAACUGCCUUCGAUAAGAAGGAGGAAGGUGGGGAUGACGUCAAAUCCUCAUGGCCCUUAUGUCCAGGGCUACACACGUGCUACAAUGGCCGGUACAACGGGAAGCAAUACCGCAAGGUGGAGCAAAACCCUGAAAGCCGGCCCCAGUUCAGAUUGUGGGCUGAAACUCGCCCACAUGAAGGUGGAAUCGCUAGUAAUCGCGAAUCAGCAGGUCGCGGUGAAUACGUUCCCGGGCCUUGUACACACCGAGUAUA
rnacentral:rRNA from 1 species